rnacentral:rRNA from 1 species
UACGUAGGGUGCGAGCGUUAAUCGGAAUUACUGGGCGUAAAGCGUGCGCAGGCGGUUUCGUAAGUCUGUCGUGAAAUCCCCGGGCUUAACCUGGGAAUGGCGAUGGAGACUGCGAGGCUAGAGUUUGGCAGAGGGGGGUAGAAUUCCACGUGUAGCAGUGAAAUGCGUAGAGAUGUGGAGGAACACCGAUGGCGAAGGCAGCCCCCUGGGUCAAAACUGACGCUCAUGCACGAAAACGUGGGGAGCAAACAGG